AGGGAAAUUUGAAAAACUGAAAACAAUAAACAAAAAAACUCUUAAAAGGAAUCGAACUGAAUUCACAAUUCGAACCUCCUGUCUUUCAAGUUUGAACCCAAGAAAGAUUUCGAUGAGGAAGAAAAAAUAAUCGAAGGAAGAAAGAGGAAAAGUGAGAAAAAAGGCAAAAUUCUCGAUUCCAUAUACAGGGGAAAGUGACACCUGUGGUUUUUGUGGGUUGCCAAAAAUGCACAAAAAUUCAAGUUCUCCUCUCUAAUCGCCUUCCAUCUGCCAGAUACCUUUCCCAUAACAGUAACCCAAAUCGGCCCUCGUUAACAUUAACAUUACCAUUCACAUUACAUGCCAUUCAACCGCAAACCCGAUGCAUCAUCUUGUUCGAAAUGCCUCGACGUUUUCAAUCUUUAUAACAAUGAACAGCACCUCCUGAUAUUAUUGGGUUUCGCUAGAAUCGCUGUUUAACAUCUGGGUUUUGUGUAAAACUUCUGGGUAUUUGACAAUGGAGGAUGGAGAGUACUCGAAGGAGUUGGAUAUUGCGGUUCGUGUUGUUCAUUUGUCUUGUGCUCUUUGCCGUAGAGUUCAAGAGGGUUUGCUUGAAAACGGCAAUGCUCAGGUUAAGGCCAAGGAUGAUGAUUCUCCGGUGACAAUUGCCGAUUGGAGUGUACAAGCAACUGUUAGUUGGAUCCUUUCUGAAUACUUUGGAAGCAAAAACGUAUCCAUUGUUGCUGAAGAGGAUGUACAAACUCUUUCUACACCAGAUUCGGUAGGUCUGUUGUCAGCUGUGGUAAAAACUGUAAAUGAGUGCUUGGCUGAAGCACCAAAGUACGGUCUUCAAAGUCCAGCCAGAGAACUUGGAACUUGGGAAAUUCUCGAGGCUAUAAGUCGGUGUAAUUCAACUGGUGGCCCCACAGGAAGACAUUGGGUGCUUGACCCUGUUGAUGGAACCUUAGGUUUUGUUCGUGGGGAUCAAUAUGCUGUUGCUUUGGCUUUGAUUGAAAAUGGUAAAGUAAUUCUUGGAGUUCUUGGUUGUCCAAAUUAUCCGUUGAAGAAGGAAUGUUUUCACUACCACUAUAAGGUAUCGACGCCAAAGUUAUUAUUACAACCGUGUUCUGAUACCUUGGAAAAAGGUUGCGUCAUUUAUGCAAAGAAAAGCUGUAAUGGGGCAUGGAUGCAGCCAUUAGUCCAUGGUGAUAAGAAGCUUGAGUGGCCAAAUUCAGCUAGCCUUAUUCAGGUAUCUUCAAUCGAUGAUCCAGCCCAUGCAACUUUCUGUGAACCUGUGGAGAAGCGGAACUCAAACCACUCAUUCACUGCAGGGCUGGCUCAUAGUGUAGGGCUUAGGAAGCAGCCGUUGCGAGUCUAUAGUAUGGUGAAGUAUGCUGCCAUUGCUCGUGGCGAUGCUGAGAUUUUUAUGAAGUUUGCAAGGACCGGAUACCGAGAGAAGAUAUGGGACCAUGCUGCUGGUGUUAUCAUUGUAGAAGCAGCGGGAGGUGUGGUAACAGAUGCCGGAGGUCGUCCCUUGGAUUUCUCAAAGGGAGUGUACUUAGAAGGUCUCGAUCGGGGAAUAAUUGUUUGUUCGGGGCCAAUCUUACACGAAAAAAUCAUUGGAGCAGUCUAUGCCAGUUGGGAUUCUUCCAAUCUAUAAAAUCUUUUGCCAACACAUGAUUGCGUCCACUGACUAGUGUUCGUGAGCAAGCAAAAGGGUCAUCGUAGCCAUUAGAAAGAAACAAAGCAGAAUGGUUUGGAAAUGCAUCAGAAAGAUUCUCAUCCAAAACUCCUUUCUCCAGCUGAAAAACCAAAAUCAACUCAGGUUUCUUCAUUUAGAAACAUCCAAUUUUUUUGGAUGAUCUUUUUCUUUAGAUCAGGUGUUUUUUAAGUUCUCAUCCUUUUAAUUUUAUUUAAUUAACAAAAAAAAGUAGUUUACCAAUUAAACAUCCACUUCCCUUUUCAUGUGAAACAAAUACCUAAACACCUUAUGGUUAAUUAUCUCAACUAGACUAAUAAAUACACUAACUUAUUGUCAUGUAAAUAGAAAAGGAAGAAUUCCCCUAUAUUCGGUUGAAA